rnacentral:lncRNA from 1 species
CCCUGCGGAGCCAGGCUUUCUGCUGUGACAGAGGCGAGGGGCCACAGGAGGCAGCAGUCCUUGCCAGAAACGGCCUCAGCCCCCUCCACGCCCCAGCUCACCGCGAGCUCCCCAUGCCGGCUGUGCCUCUCCCUUUCCAGAGCAAGGCGACACCAAACCCCCGCCGGGUCACAUCCUGUCUUCUUCAGAAUGGUCUUUGCACUGCUGCUAGGGACAGGGGCUACCAGAGCAAAAGGACAACGGAGGAGAACACUUAAGCCCAGUUUCCAGAAGCAUCUAAAAACUAGGUUUAACUGAAAGCCAUUAAGAGGGAAACAGCUUCAUCCAACUCCUCUGCCCACCAACCUGUGCUACACGUAUUCCAGGCUCAUCCCACACCUUAACAGAUGACAAGAGAAAAGUGCCAGUACUGAGGACUUGAGAACAGAGCAGAAAUGGAGUGGAAAUAGAGAAACACAGCAUUGCAAGGCAGUCAAAAAUCUGCAUACAAAAUCUUCUCCAGCACUUUCUAAGCAGAUGAC